AGGGACGGAUGGAGCAUCAAUCCAGAGCCUCUCAGCCAGUCUGGAAGGGUGAAUCGGCUGAUAGAGAGAAAAUAUCAUGACGUGAUCUCAUCCUCCAUUUCUGAUGACUUUUCCAUCUUUCACUGAAUGUGGAGAAUGGACCAGCUAGCUCUCUUGACACACAGCUUGAUGAUGGCAAUGACACCUCUACUGAGGACAGUCCAGAGCCUCCAAAGGAACCACAAGGACCACUGAAGGACCAUCGACUGAAGGUGUCACGCCAGAUGGAGGUGGUCCCCACUGUCCGGCCCUGCAGGCAGCAGCUGGACAAGAAGACACAGUGGACCAACACCAACGAGGAGAGUCUGAGGAGGAUCAAAGAGAACCUGACCUCAAUAGAACUCAACCUGGAGGAAGGUC